rnacentral:sRNA from 1 species
UGGACAUGGCUUCUCCCACCUCCCCUGGCCCGGAGGGAGGGGCUUGCACCCAGCAGAACCCACCGCGGAUCCGUCAGGAGUCGAGGGACUGAAGAGAGAUGGGACAGUUCCACGUGGAUUAAAGCAGAGGCAAACAAGACUCGCAUCCAGGGAGCCUGGUGAAGACCUGGAGUGACAGAGGACCUCAAGGAUGACGCUUACAGAAUUCGUAUUUUCCCCAUGGAAGAUGAAGUGUAAAUUCUCACUGUCCCGUUUGAUGAAAACGGAGAGUUCCCAUGAGCUCUGGACAGGGUUUGCUGCCAGUUUCUGCUCUCGGAAUCACGACGAGGCCAUCAGAAGAACACCCCGUAGAAGGCAGCAUUCAAUCUCACCGCUAAGGUGACGUUUGAUCUCACAUCACAGAGAUUGGCCCUUUACUCUGUGUCCAUUCUUAUGGGUGAGGCCCAAGAGGGAUGCGAUUAUUAAAUGUGUGGAUGACUACGUUUUAAUUGCCCUUGGAAUAGAAUUGGAGUAAGAAUCAGACAAGCCUUUCAUGAGGAUCCGGAGAGCCAAA